rnacentral:rRNA from 1 species
UACGGGGGGAGCAAGCGUUGUUCGGAUUUACUGGGCGUAAAGGGCGCGUAGGCGGCGUGCUAAGUCACUUGUGAAAUCUCCGGGCUUAACCCGGAGCGGCCAAGUGAUACUGUCGUGCUAGAGUGCGGAAGGGGCUACUGGAAUUCUCGGUGUAGCGGUGAAAUGCGUAGAUAUCGAGAGGAACACCUGCGGCGAAGGCGGGUAGCUGGGCCGACACUGACGCUGAGGCGCGAAAGCCAGGGGAGCGAACGGG